GACGAACGCUGGCGGCGUGCUUAGCACAUGCAAGUCGAACGGAAAGGCCUCUUUCGGGGGGUACUCGAGUGGCGAACGGGUGAGUAACACGUGAGUAACCUGCCCUUGACUUUGGGAUAACUUCAGGAAACUGGGGCUAAUACCGGAUAGGAGCUCCUGCUGCAUGGGGGGGGGUGGAAAGUUUCGGCGGGUGGGGAUGGACUCGCGGCGUAUCAGCUUGUUGGUGGGGGAGUGGCUUACCAAGGCUUUGACGGGUAGCCGGCCUGGGAGGGUGACCGGCCACCUUGGGACUGAGAUACGGCCCAGACUCCUACGGGAGGCAGCAGUGGGGAAUAUUGCACAAUGGGUGGAAGCCUGAUGCAGCAACGCCGUGUGCGGGAUGACGGCCUUCGGGUUGUAAACCGCUUUCGCUCAUGACGAAGCUUUGUGUGACGGUAGUGGGUAAAGAAGCACCGGCUAACUACGUG
rnacentral:rRNA from 1 species